UUGGUAUGUUUUUCAUUUUUAUUUUUAAAUAUGUAAUGAUACGUUUUAUUGAUUUUUAUUUUUAAUUGUAAUUAUUUUAAUACUUUAAAAGAAAAUAAAAAAGUUGCCCUGCUAAUGAAAUCCCCCUUUUAAAAAUAUUUUAUUUGUUUACGUUAAAGUUUAGCUUAUGUUGAGAAACAGAAAUGUUAAAUGGUUAAGUUUUAGUGAGUCCUCCCCCUGUUCCUCUUUGCUCACUUGUGUGCAUUAGUAAAAGUGAAGAGUGAAAGUGAAAAGAAAUGGCGGGAACGCGGGCGUGGGGGGUGGGCUCAUGGGGGCAGGGGCCGCACUGGGGUCCGAGGCGACAGAAAAGAAGAGCGACAGCGCGUAAAGAAAGGACGCGAGGUGGCCUCUUCUGCGAUGACAUCAUCCCUCAUUUGCAUAAAUCUCCGCCUGAAUUGAAAGCUCAUUGGUCACAGGCGAGAGAGACCGAAGCUGCUCUCGCUUUUCAUCCUUUUCAAUGCCCCUCCCGCGACCGCAUAGUGUGCGCGUGCGUGCGUGCGCGGACCGUCGAGCGCCGUUCCAUUCUCUGCUGCCAGGAGACGCGCAUCGCUUUUAUCGCCGGUAGACAGUCAGUCAGCUCCAAACGGCCUUUGUCAGAGCUACUGAUUUUUAUCUCAACAUUUGUUGCCGGUUGUUCUCGACUCGCAGUGCUGUCCUCCGAUUCCACUUGGAAAAAGAAAGAAAGAAAUAAAAAAUCGUGGAAGACGCGAGUACCGACUGGGCGUUGCUGGAGGAAAAGCGCUAGACUCGGUGGCAUGGCAUGCUGGCUGGGGCCCGUAUCUGGCCCGUGUCCUGUGUGCAUCCCAUUCUGUGGGUGUCCAUCGGAGGAUCGCCCAGGAUUAGCAUCAUGCUUUGUCCAGAGUUAACAAGCUCUGUCAUGUGUUAAUC
rnacentral:lncRNA from 1 species